UUACUCGCUUCCCCUUUUAAACUAUUUUUUAUUCUAUCUCCAUAUAUUCUUCUACACUCAUUCAUUUGUUCCUCAUUUAUUAAAAAAACAUCAUAUUAUUUUCUUCUUAACAUUAAACUCUUAUAAACAUGAUGAUUACCCCAUUUUUUUUUCUUAUGCUUACAUCUAAAAUUUGAAUUUUUAACUUUAAAUGAUUUGGGUUUUUUGUUACUAAUGUUUAUUUUUCAAAGUUAACUUUUAAAUUGCUAAAGAAUACAUACAUCAAAAUUUUUAGCCAUAAAUUAUUUUUUAUUUAUAAAUAUAUCUAUUGAUUUUUUUUCAGCCAACCACUCCUAGUAUACGGCUUUGCAUGGUUGCGUUGUCAGGGCGACC
rnacentral:lncRNA from 1 species